rnacentral:lncRNA from 1 species
CUGUCUUGCAUGUGAAAAAAAAAUCACAUCUCUUAUCUAUUGUGUUAUAAUCCAAUGCAAUACCAUUUCGCUCAGGUAUAUUCUGCCAAAAGAGCCCAAAAGACUCAAUAUCCUACAAGACAAAUCCAACCAGCCCUUGGAUCUCAGACCACAUGGCACUACAGAAGGCCCAGACCAGAGGACAACAUUCAUUUGGUCCUGUCUGGAUUUAGUUUCCCUGUAUUUAUAUUGAGAGUAUUUCCAUGUGACCUGUGAUUCCUCGGUUGCAUAUUAUGUUAAGAUGUUCUGUGGGAUGCAAAGAAUGAAUGGGAUCUGCCAUGACAAAAGAUGUUUCCUACAGGUUAUAACAUUUCCCAGAAAGGUAAUGUUCUUACAAGGUGUGGGAUCUACAAUUUGUGCUGAGUUUCUAU